rnacentral:lncRNA from 1 species
CUCGAUAUGCUUGUUCUCUGACAAACACCUACACUCUUGCUUCGUGUUUUUACACUAUAAAUUCAAGACUCAUCUAUCCCUAAGAGAAUCGAUUCAUGCACCAACCUAUCUGGAUCAAUUAGCAUCCUAAUGAUGAUCCUACGAUUUGGAGCAUUUCAUGAAUUAACCUUCAAUGACAUAUGCUCCAAAUUCUCAACACUUAAGAAU